GGGGCAUUGGUGUAAUCGGUAGCACGGCAGUUUCUGGUACUGCUAGUUGGGGUUCGAGUCCCUAAUGCCCUA
rnacentral:tRNA from 1 species